UUAAGCAUUUUUUUUUUUACAUUUGUACGAGUAUAUGUAAAAAAAAAAACUUUUACUUUCGUAAACUAGCUUCUUCCUUACUGCCUGUGUGAAUAUCCCCUUACAUACAGCUUAUUUGUUAGUGAUUGAAGCUGUUUUUAACGCUUCUAAGGACGAAAAAGCAGACAGAAGUGUUUAUAAAGCUCCGGGGAGAGAAGGAUGAGCUCUUCACCCGCGUCUUGCUUAGUGCUGUCACGGUUGCUAGGUGACAUGAUAUGAGCAACGGGUAAGGGAGGGAACUGAAAGAAGGGUAGGCUGUCCAAAUUCACAAACACCGACUUCCGGUUUUUGCGGUCGUCGGAGGACCCCUCCUCCUUCAACCGGGUAGGAAGGAUCCUAAGGAGGAACACAGUUGCAGAACACAGUUGCAAUAGCCAGCUCCAGACGUGCGCUCUCCAUUAUUGUUCAAUGUUGUGCGUUCAUGCAAACAAAUGUGAGUAAUCAUUUAAAUAUUUAAUUAACACUUUGUAGUUAUAAUUGUGAAUGUCUGGCGAUCUGUGGAAUGUUUUUGAGAUGUGUAAUGAUGAUCGCGAUUUGACCGCGAAUAGGCACUAAUUUCCAUAAGCCGCGUUAGUCUGAUCACAAUGAACUCACACGUGUUGUUGUAUUUCUUGCUGCGUCAUGCCGUGUAUUGGAGUUUACUUUCUUAUAUAAUAUUCAUAUAUUAUCUGAUAGUUAAGUAUUCGUUUGUGAGUGAUUUAAUCAGUUAUUGAUAUUUUGUGAGUUAAUUUGCAGUGAAUAUAUACAGAUGUUGUAUUCAUAUUGUAUUCUCUUUAUCUGUUUAACAGACCACAACGCAAUAACCUAGGUCAAAUACUGGCAUUUGAUCCGUCACAUCUUCAGAUGAUGUUGUAAGGGAUAUCACUGCUUACCUGAAAAGUACUAUUAAAGAAAAGCUUGAAAGGAUUCACAUCGACCAUGCCUGAUUCUCUAACUGGAUCAACUCGAUCAACCGCUCGAAUUGCUCCAGCUCAGAUCUCAAGCGGUGGAUGUCCUGCAGCCGGUUGCUCGGGUGUUUGGUGACCGCGGUCUGUGUGCGUAGAGUCCCGGCGUAUGUCUCCGCUUCUAGCGCUUAGGACUCUUGGCAAAUCGUGAUUCCGGUCCGGGACGUACACGUUUUCCUUAACUUUUGCCUCAUCAGGGUUUAUAUCCGGCGGCUGUUAGUCACUCUACACAGCUACCCGCGUGUCAAAAUAAGGGCGAGACACUAACAUUUGGGAUGAAAUCUAAUUUUGGUGUAAAUUAAAGUAUUUAACAACCUGUAGUUCUCUAUGAGAGAUCGCUAAUGUGUCGUCAUCAUGACGUUUCCCCAGUGGUGAACGCAAAGCAUUUUGGGAAUCCGCGGCACAAACAUUAGGCGCUAGACUUCUUUGUAUGAGGGAAGAACACAGUGUUCAAGAUACUGUCUACCUAUAAACUGCAACAUAAAGCUUAAGAAUGGAAUAUCCUUUUAUCAUUUUCCAGCGGGGAAAAGUAAUAGUACAAGCCAUGUUUCAGAGGUGACAAAAAGGGCGACGAAUGGCAUGGAUAGCAGCGGUAAGGAGGCCAAGCUUACAUUCGAUAACACUCCACCACACAUGAUGGUGUUCAAAGCAUUUUCACAAAGGUAAGUUACAAUUACUUCCUGUAAAUGUUAACUGUUAACUAGCAUGAAAUGGCUAGAAAAUGAGCUUAAGUUACCAAUGUACUAAAGCGUAACGUUAAUCAGUUUUAAAUGUCGUACAUCUAGGCUACAUUGCAAUUUAUUUGGUAACUGUGUUUGCAGGCAAACCUGCCUAUGAAAUGUUGGAAGGUGAUCCUGCUUUGAUUACAGGAAUAAAUUAGUUUAAAAUAUAUUAAAAUAGAAAAGUAAUUUUAAAUUUUCAUAAUAUUUCACAAUAUUACUGUAUUUAUUAUUAUUAUUAUUAUUAUUAUUUUAUCAAAUAAAUGCAGCCUUGGUGAGCAGAAGAUGCUUCUUUUAAAAACAUUUAAAAAUCUUACUGACCCCAAAGCUUUGAAAGCUAGAGUAUGUUUCCCCCCUGUGUAUAGCUAAUCUGGAUUCCUAAGGAAUAGAGGUUGUGAUAUGACACGAUUUCUUUAUAUUGUUACUGUCAGACACUACACCUGCACCUGAGAUGGAAGGUCCUGUGAAUUCACCUCCAUCACCUCCUUUAUCUUUAUUAAGGAAGAAUUGUGCAAAAUGAGUGUUCUUUGGUUGCAAACACAAUUACAUAACUUAAAUAGUAGUAACAACCAACUUUCAGUUUCUUUACAUAUUUAACAUGUAAAUACAUUAAGAUGAAUACAUUAACAUGUAAAUACAUUUAGAUGAAUAUUAUUAUAUGAUUAUAAAGAGUCAAUAGAAAUGAUGAAAAACUGAAAAUGUAUGAGGUAGGUUGUGUGUGAUAAGUCACAGACACAUGACUCUUCUCUGGCUGGUGCGCUGCUGAGUCUCACGCAGUCUAAAUGGAACCACUGUAUAGGACAGCUCUGAUUAUCGCAAGCUAACAUGUCAUCAAGCUCUUCAGGCUGUCUGUAAAAGCACCACAACACAGCCUUUUCACAUGCCCUUCUUUUGGGCUUGAGGGUGUUACUUUGACCAGUCGCGAGAGUUCCCAAAUGUCACGUUUCACAUUUUUCGUUCUUUCUGGAAUAUUUUUACUCGAAACUAGUUAUUUAGAUACAGACCUUAGAUUUGUGGGAUUUAAUCGAAGACAUAAAUGGCUACAGUCAUAAAUGUGGCUAUAAUUCAGACUAGCAACAUUAAUGAAUGAACGAUAUAAUUCUAGUCUGUCUCUGCCUUAAAACAGAAUCAGAGAAGGAAAAUGCAGAACUCCAGAUUAAUGCAAGCUGCAU
ensembl:lncRNA